ACGAACGCUGGCGGCGUGCUUGACCCAUGCAAGUCGCACGGAAAGGCCCUGCUUUUGUGGGGUGCUCGAGUGGCGAACGGGUGAGUAACACGUGAGUAACCUGCCCUUGACUUUGGGAUAACUUCAGGAAACUGGGGCUAAUACCGGAUAGGAGCUCCUGCUGCAUGGUGGGGGUUGGAAAGUUUCGGCGGUUGGGGAUGGACUCGCGGCUUAUCAGCUUGUUGGUGGGGUAGUGGCUUACCAAGGCUUUGACGGGUAGCCGGCCUGAGAGGGUGACCGGCCACAUUGGGACUGAGAUACGGCCCAGACUCCUACGGGAGGCAGCAGUGGGGAAUAUUGCACAAUGGGCGGAAGCCUGAUGCAGCAACGCCGCGUGCGGGAUGACGGCCUUCGGGUUGUAAACCGCUUUCGCCUGUGACGAAGCGUGAGUGACGGUAAUGGGUAAAGAAGCACCGGCUAACUACGUG
rnacentral:rRNA from 1 species